AAUGAACGCUGGCGGCGCGCCUAAUACAUGCAAGUCGAGCGAGAAGACGUAGCAAUACGUUUGUAAAGCGGCGAACGGGUGAGGAAUACAUGGGUGACCUACCCCUAGAGUGGGGAAUAACUAGCCGAAAGGUUAGCUAAUACCGCGUACGCUCCUUGGACUUCGGUUCAGGGAGGAAAGCGAUGCCGAGGGUAUCGCGCUCUUGGAUGGGCUCAUGUCCUAUCAGCUUGNGGUGAGGUAACGCUCACCAAGGCUUCGACGGGUAGCUGGUCUGAGAGGACGAUCAGCCACACUGGCACUGCGACACGGGCCAGACUCCUACGGGAGGCAGCAGUAAGGAUAUUGCGCAAU
rnacentral:rRNA from 1 species